CAUGAAAAUGUGCUUGCUGUCGGUCACAAAGGACUUCCAGCUAACUUUUGAACUACUGGGUGGAAUUGUCUGAUUUUUGGUUAUGUGUAUAUUUAAAGUAUGCUGAUUCUGAAUAUGUUUUAUGUGAAUGUGAUGUAUAUUUUUAAAGUUACAGUACAUGUGUAAAAAGUGUAUUUUUCCUGCCUGUGAUAAUAACUUAAACCCAUUGUGUUCAGUAAUUAUAUCACAGGCAGAGGGGAGGGUUUGUGUGUAAUUGCUGGGAAUGUUUUACUGUAAUGGACAUGUUUUAUUGGUUGUUCUACAAAACCCUGUGGGCAGGACUGUAUGUGUAAAACCUGCAUAAAAGAAAGUCCUUUGGUGCCAAUUAAAAUAGAUCAUCAUGUACCUUUAUGAAGUUUCAGCUCAUGUUUGGGGGAUUGGAGAACUACACUCUGGGGAUUGCUAUAAUCACUUUACUCCCCAGGGUAUAAUCACUAAGCUCUGCUAAGAGCUUAUUCCUGUUCCUACUCUCUGGAAUUUGGAGAGGUCGACCUACUGCCGUAGCUUGGUUGGAGUCUCGCCGUCCAAGGUGGGUGGAGACGGCGAGACCACAACCAAGCUAUGGCGGUUUGUGGGGUCUGCAGUGGUUAUGGUGUCAG